UCUGGCAUAGUGUAAUGGCUAACAUAUCUCCUUUUCAAGGAGGAGCUUGGGGUUCGAUUCCCUGUGUCGGAA